AUUUAUUCUGGAAUUUUUUUCUAAGCUGUGACUAACUCUUUUUAUCUCUCAAUAUAAUUUUUGAGCCAGUUAAUUUUUUUCAGUAUUUUGCUGUUCCUUGGGAAUGAGCCCUCAGAGGACAGUGCUUCCAAGUACAUCUUCUUCUCCCAGAUUCUCUGGCCUUUUUAAUGAGCUAUUGUUAAACCAACAGGCUAGUUUAUCUUACAUCAGACCCUUUUCUGGUAGAGGGAAAAUGUUUGUGCUUUCCUUUUUUCUUCUGUUAAUACUUAUGGUAACACCUAACUGAGCCUCACUCACAUUAAAUGAUUCACUUGAAAUAUAUACAGAAAUUGUAAUUUGCUUUUUUUUAAAAAAGGGGGCUAAAGUAACACUUUCCUACUU
rnacentral:lncRNA from 1 species